rnacentral:pre_miRNA from 1 species
AACCUCUCUUAGCCUCUGUUUCUUUAUUGUGGUAGCCUAAAAUGAGAAGGCUAACAGUAUCUACCACAAUAAAAUUGUUGUGAGGAUA